rnacentral:tRNA from 1 species
GAAGGUAUAUCUGAGAGGAAGACAUAUGCUUAGCAUGCAUGAGGUCCUGGGUUCAAUCCCCAGUAUCUCCA